ensembl:lncRNA
GGAUGUUCUGGUGGAGAGCUCAGGACGUGUGUGCUGGGGAAAGUGUGAGGGUUUCUGCUCUGCACUGCUCCCGACGGACAAAGCCCAGACCCCAGGGCAGAGCCCCAGCCCUGAGCCCAGAGUGCUGGUGCAGCCUCUCCCUACCCAACGAGAAGUGGAAGCAAUCCUUCUUGUCCUCUGGUGCUUAUACACCAGAGAUGGAGGUACCCACUGAUGAUAAAGGAAACCUCUUGGGUCCAUGAAGCACACUGUGAGAUCAUCUGCAGCGCAGAUGACAGUAACCUGCGGCAUUGUCUCGGUUCUUCCAGGGGUGGAUGUUGGGAAAAUCACAACGGCCGCUGUUGGCGAAGAGCUGCGAAAACACCACAUCCCAGUGAUUGCUGUGGUCUCCGCUGUGCUGCUGUCCGUGCUGAUGCUGGCCUGUGUUCCUAUGCUGUGGAUGUGGAAAAAAUAUCUGGCACGCAAGACAGAGCAGACAGCAGCAAGACAAGCUGACUGGGAGAGAGAUCAAAACAGAGAUGAAGGCAGAGCGGAGCUGGGGGAGGCUGCAAAGGAGGAUGUCCUUGACCAAGG